rnacentral:rRNA from 1 species
GAGGAAUAUUGCGCAAUGGACGAAAGUCUGACGCAGCCAUGCCGCGUGCAGGAUGACGGUCCUAUGGAUUGUAAACUGCUUUUGUAUAGGAAGAAACUUAACUACGUGUAGUUGACUGACGGUACUAUAUGAAUAAGCAUCGGCUAACUCCGUGCCAGCAGCCGCGGUAAUACGGAGGAUGCAAGCGUUAUCCGGAUUUAUUGGGUUUAAAGGGUGCGUAGGCGGAAACUUAAGUCAGUGGUGAAAUCCUGCAGCUUAACUGUAGCACUGCCAUUGAUACUGAGAUUCUUGAGUACGAUUGAGGUAGGCGGAAUGUGUAAUGUAGCGGUGAAAUGCUUAGAUAUUACACAGAACACCAAUUGCGUAGGCAGCUUACUAAGUCGCAACUGACGCUGAGGCACGAAAGCGUGGGGAUCGAAC